GGCGCGUGACUUGCUAGGAACACCGCAAGAGCAGUCAACGCUGAUUGCCCAUUCACGACAAAGGCGCCGU
rnacentral:ncRNA from 1 species